GUGAAGACAGCUCAUCACGAAGUCUUGAGUCCGACUCUUGCUCCUCGGGUUAGCCGGGGCUCCCAGUCCUCCCGAAUAAGGAGAGAUGCUCGGGUACCUCAGGCCGCGGACAGGCACAACCGCACUUGGCAGAACCGCUCCCGCCUCUGGGCCACUGCGCACGCGCUGCUUCCCGCCAAGGAGGGGGCGGGAAGUAGGCGGGGCGGACAUCUCCAGGGCCAAUCGAAAUCGAGCGCCCCCGCCCUCCGCGCCGGUGGACCGAGCUUGACCCUGGCGGUGGGCGGAGGAGGCGGGGCCAGCCGCGAGGCCACGGAGGGGGCGGGGCCCGCGGCUUGGAGGCGGGGCCUGGGGCUGUCAGUCCGCGCCCGCCGCCGCCGCCACCGCGGCUCCUUGCACGCUGUGGCCCUGGUGGCUGCCAGCUCUGCUGCCAGCCGCUCUCCAUCAGGCAUCCCGAGCCACCUCCCGUGUCCCGGCCCGGCGCUCAGGUGUUCAUUUCUACAUGUUGUUUGUAGAGUGUUGCAUUCUGCAUCAGGGCAGAAGAGUGCUUUACAGUGUCAUCACAAGAAUCAAGUUAGGAGUUCUUCUGGACUUAACUUUGCCACCAACUCAUCUAUGGUUUUGAUUAAGAUGCCUCAUCUCCAUACCUCCCAUUUCCUCAUUGAUGGAAUAAUAGUCAUUAAAUUAAAUGAGCUAACUAGCCUAUUGGAGAGACCAGUAGAUGCACCCAAGAAUGAACUGUCCUCCUCUGUAAGGCACAGCAUAAGAUUUGAGUAUCGUUUUACAGGAGGCUUGUGGUUGGAGGAUGGCAGGACCUGAAUCGCAGAUCAAGAAGUUCCCAGAAUCACAGCAAGUCAGGGAUGGAAGGAUGCUUUAAGUCGUAAUUAAAGACCUCUUCCUUCUCCCUCCAUUACCUGUCCAGUGGAUAAAUGCCCCCUUAAGUGGGCACCUUUGUUCAGCCCACUCCUGCUUGGACACCUCCAAGGACAAACAUUUGGUCUGCUUCACAAAUCCAUGCACCUGAGAAGAUGGGACUGUAUCCAGUGGUAGGGAAUGGGAAGCUACAGAAGACCAGGAGGAACUAGACCCCCGAUGACAGAACCCCCUACAUCCAGUGACUGUCUGCCCACAGCAUCAGAGAUCAACAUCUCUUGGGUGUAUGAGAGGGUGGAGGCUUGGGAGAGCCAUUGAUGGAACUGGGAAGUCAGUGGAGAGGGGAGGAGAGACAGUUUUGUCUGCGUAUUUCCCAAAGCUGUGCAAUAAAGUGUGGCUAAUGCAAGGCCUCUGCAGACCAGUAAACAGAUCUCCUUUCUUCUCAAGAGGGGAGUGUCCAUUUAAAUAGAGUGGGAAACUCCCUCUGCCUAAUGAAGAAAAAUAACAGCAUUUCCCCAGGGGUACUGCAGCCUCUGACACUGGCUGCUUUAACCUCCCAUUAAACUUCUGGUCGGGUUGGGAAUUGGGUGUUUCUCUGGCCUCAGAGGUAUAGGAUGUGCAGAGGAGAGAGGUGAAGCCUGCAUUGGAGCAUCCACUGGACCCCUAUGUCUCCAAGUCAAAACUGGAAGUAGGUGCUCUAGGCAUGGAAGGUUUCAGAUGCAAAAGGAUGUGACUUUCACUGGGUUAUGCAGAGGAGUUGGGUGCAACUGUUUCAGAGCUGGACCACUAGAACACAUUAGCAGUACAUUCCCCCCGUCCCCCCUUCCAAGAAAUGCUCUUUUGGGGGAUUCUGUUCUCCAGUGACCCCUGUUAAGUAUGUGCUCGAGAGCCAGCACACGUCAUGGGAAGUGCUGAGAAAGGCAUUGGAAGCUUUUCUUCCAAUUUAAACUGAGAUUGUGUGGUGUUCCAAGAGGGCUCAGCAAGAGAUGCCUUGAUGACCACGUUGACUGGAAAACAGGAUCAUUUGGGAGAAGCAAAAAAGACUUACACAGGAAACCACCAAGGCAAAGAAAACAUAUUUUCGAAUGUUAGAUUCAUUUUUUUCUUGUUACCUUAUGUAUUUCUGGUUUAGAAUGCAACACUUCUUAAAUACUCAUAUUUACAAAUUUGUAAGUUAAAAUAUAUUGUCUAAUAGUAUAUAUGGAAAUAA
ensembl:lincRNA